rnacentral:tRNA from 1 species
GGGGAAAUAGCUCAGUUGGUUAGAGUGCUGGUCUGUCACGCCAGAAGUCGCGGGUUCGCAACCCCGUUUUCCCGC